GCUGUGCUGUGAUGGCACUUGACAGACCAUCGAGCAUCUGUAGGCCUCAUGAUAGGACUGCCUAGGGGACGUUAAGACUUUUGGGAGUUUUCAUGUGCAGCUUUCCAGACCUCUGCACCCCUUCCAACAGUGACAAAAGCCCCAGGAUUUCAAUCCCUACUGAAGGCUUGGCUUCCUCRGACGGUGCGGGGAGCCUGGCAGUCUUGAAACCCAUGACUCAGGCCUGAGGUCCCUGUCUCACACGCAUCGAUUUUGGCUCCUUCAUGACUCCAAGGCUCCUAACCUCCUGGAUGCCCUAUUGACUCUGCAUUCACAGCCUAGCCAAGGCCUGCAGUGCUUAGGCUUCCACUCUCACUUUCGCUAUGGGUUUUGCUAAGCCAGCUGAUUUGAAACAUUUUUAUUUUUCCACACGCAAGCAUUUUUAACUCAGUUUUUCAUUUCAGAAUGGAGCAUCCAUAGUCAGCACCUUCUGCAAGUCUGCAGAGCAGAGGCAAUGCCAGUGCACCUCUGCCUUCAGAUGCAUCUCUGCAAAGCCCCAAGUGGUCUCUCCAGUUUUGUGGUGCUGGGCUGGGAGAGAAAAGGCUUCAGUCCUACCUUCCUACAUGCCCAUUUGGAAAUUGGUGUAGUCCAGCUUGCAGCUAAGAGCCUGGACUGUGGUCUGCAGGCAGUUCCACCCAGCCUCUCUCUUCAUCCCAGAGGACAAGGAACCACCUGCACACACAGAAAACACAUCUGARUGCCUCUUCCUGAGCCUGUGACACACCAACACAACACCAAGUCGCUCCUACCACCAGCAUGUUAGAAAGUGUGAGGAGCAGUGGCUGCUGCUAGGUGGGAAGGGAGAGGAGAAGAUGAAGGAAACACCAAUCUAAGCUAAAGGCAGAACUCACUCCAUAUCAUAUAGUGAAAAGUAUGGAUUGUAUGUUUCAAUACAGUAUCAAGACAGAUCAUGCAGUAUUUAGUUCAUCUGUACUCAUGCAAAAUUGCCCAAGUCCUCACAAGGACUUUGCUUGAGACAUCACUGACCAAACAAAAAUAAUGGGCAUUUGUGAGACACACUCCUUGCUCAGUAAAAAUUUCAAGGCUCCUCGUGCUGUCAAAGCAUGAUCAGAAUAGAUCAGUGUCGCAAACAUGAUCUCCCAAAUUGCCAUCACUGUUUACAUCUGAAUCUGAUAUACCCUCAGAAAUACACCAUGUUAUAAUAACCAUCCUUUUGAUGUCAAUGAUUUCACAGUCUGAUGUGAGAUAUUAUGCUGACACAUGUAUCUGUCUUCCUGUUAUGUGCUAGGCAGAGUAUUUUGUAAAGAAGCAGGCUGCACCAGUGAGAGUAGUCAAUAAUUCUCUUGGCCUACCAGAGUCUAUUAAUUUAAAAUUUCUGUCAUAUAACCAAUUGCUUGGCACUUCUGUUGGCUUUCAAUAAGUCAUUUCAGCUAACUUAGAAGAUCCUUUAGAUUUUAAAGAUGCUAUGAAAUUUCUGAUAAGUACACAUGGCCAUUUUGUAACUAUUGAGCAAAACUGUUAUAGAUGGUUACCCACAAAAUAAUAUGCUCUUUCAAAAAUAGCAAUUUACUGACUGUUUUGCUACCAAAUUCCUUAACUCAUCCCACUAGAGUAGAUCAUUUUGAUGUCUUUGAUGUGCUUAGCACUGUCUUUGCAUUAUUCUUCCUUAUUUCCUAUUUAUGGAAAUAAAAUACAUUGUCUGCAAUUUUCUUAAAUGCUA
ensembl:lncRNA